CUCACGAGGAACGGCUAGGUGAUAACCACGUCUGCAUGCAAAAGCUAAAUCCAACCUCCCCCCUCCCCGCCUCAGCCCCUCCUUGAAGUUAAAAACUUUUGGCUCAAGAAUGCGGUAGGGUUGUCCUCCUGCUACUCCCACUCCUCCUGCACCCCUUCCUCCGCCGCAAGGCCCUCCCCCUGCUCAAUUUGGAUUAGGCUGUACCUUUUCUUCACUCCUUCAAGGGUGAGGGUUUUAUUCCCUUCUUUUCUGCCCAGAUCUCCACUAAACAAAGGAGCUCUGGGCACAUCACCAGUUCCAGGACGUAAAGAAAGCAAACAGCAGGAAGACACCUUGGCAUUUAAGGGCUAUUGUGAAAAUCCAUCUUCCACCAAGGCAGCAGGGACCCUCCAGCUGGAAGAAGAUUUCAGAGCAGCCAGGAAUCGUGGAAUCUGUGCCAUCAUGGGGGUAUUGUGGCUGGCCAGGUUCAUACUGGGAUGUACAGCAAUUUUGUAUUUGAAACAAGCCCGGGGUCAAUAUGAAGGGGACUUGCAGACAGACAGAUUUGCAGGCUAUGAGGAAAGACAGCCAGCACACAGAGUGAGAAGAAGAGGCCAAGACACUUUACGAGGGUAUGUUUAAUGUUCAUUUCUAUUUUAUAAAGCAGAAUUUGGUUUAUUAUUAUAGCACAUAGUAACAUGCCUACAGAAUUGCUUUCUGCCUUUUCCUUGAGCUUGGGAAGGAAUCUGCUUUGCAGACAUAAGGUAGGAGGACAGCUCUUGCCAAGGGGAACAGCAAAGCAGGCAAAGAACCCAGACUGCUAUGUGAACAGAGUGCUGUGCACUGAGCUACUCUGCUUUGAUCAGUGGAUCACAGCAAUUUGGGGCUCAUGCAAGAGUACUGUGAGGAGUCAUCAACAUCUUGCCUGCAGGUGGCAGGAAUUCUGGGCAUCUACUUGAAGGAUGUCUCUGGCUGGUCUUUCCAUCAUCAGUGAGGAUGUUGUUGACUGGGGUUGCAACCCAGGAGUCACCCUCUGUCAUGCUGCCAGUUGAUGUUGUGGCUUAUGCUGUUGGCUGCUUUUACACUGAUAGUUGUUCUCUCUGCUAUUGCUAAUGGGUGAGUGUACACGCUAAGUCAUCUGUUGUGAAGUAAAGCUGGG
rnacentral:lncRNA from 1 species